UACGUAGGGUGCGAGCGUUGUCCGGAAUUAUUGGGCGGAAAGGGCUCGUAGGCGGUUUGUCGCGUCGGGAGUGAAAACCUUGGGCUUAACUCAGGGCUUGCUUUCGAUACGGGCAGACUAGAGGUAUGCAGGAGAGAACGGAAUUCCUGGUGUAGCGGUGAAAUGCGCAGAUAUCAGGAGGAACACCGGUGGCGAAGGCGGUUCUCUGGGCAUGAUCUGACGCUGAGGAGCGAAAGUGUGGGGAGCGAACAGG
rnacentral:rRNA from 1 species